UGUGUGUUAGUGGAAGCGUCUGGAAAGGCGCGCGAUACAGGGUGACAGCCCCGUACACAAAAAUGCACAUGCUGUGAGCUCGAUGAGUAGGGCGGGACACGUGGUAUCCUGUCUGAAUAUGGGGGGACCAUCCUCCAAGGCUAAAUACUCCUGACUGACCGAUAGUGAACCAGUACCGUGAGGGAAAGGCGAAAAGAACCCCGGCGAGGGGAGUGAAAAAGAACCUGAAACCGUGUACGUACAAGCAGUGGGAGCACGCUUAGGCGUGUGACUGCGUACCUUUUGUAUAAUGGGUCAGCGACUUAUAUUCUGUAGCAAGGUUAACCGAAUAGGGGAGCCGAAGGGAAACCGAGUCUUAACUGGGCGUUAAGUUGCAGGGUAUAGACCCGAAACCCGGUGAUCUAGCCAUGGGCAGGUUGAAGGUUGGGUAACACUAACUGGAGGACCGAACCGACUAAUGUUGAAAAAUUAGCGGAUGACUUGUGGCUGGGGGUGAAAGGCCAAUCAAACCGGGAGAUAGCUGGUUCUCCCCGAAAGCUAUUUAGGUAGCGCCUCGUGAA
rnacentral:rRNA from 1 species